AGGCCAUUCAGUGACUAACCCGAUUUGGGAUUUAUCCCAUGGGAGGGCACCAAACUCUGACACUAUUGCUGAUGCAAGCUUUUUUUUCUUUUUUCUUUUUUUUUUUCUUUUGACAGAAUCUCACUAUGUAGACAACACGAACUUUGAAUUCACAGAGAUCCUUCUCCUCUCAAGUAUUGGGAUUAAAGGAAUGUGUCACACUAUGCCCGGCUGCAGACUGUUAUUGCUUUAUAACAAAGUUGAUUUUAAAGGGAAUGCUUUAUAUGCUCAAUAUACACAUUAAUUCUUUUUUCAGCCACCUUGUCCUUAGCCAGGUGAAGUGACAUAUGACUUUAGUCCAAAAACUCACUUGGUAGAAACAGGCAAAUAUCUGUGAGUGUGUGGCCAUUUGGGUCUACAUAGUGAGUUUCAGGUUUACCUGGUAUAUAGAGAGAGACUCUCUGUCAAAAAAUAAAACAACAAACAGAUACCAAGCUCGCCAAUGAGUUGCUCAUUUACUACACUGCCAACAGCAUGCCGGGUUGCAUUGUAGAGCCUCAUACUUUUGCCAUGGUGACAUUUGUGGGGCGUUAGUUUGUGAACAACACCCAUUCCUCAUGUAUCUAAAUACCACUUUUCUUAUACAUUCUCCUAUAUCUGACCAAAGGGAAGACCCCCGUUCUCUUAGGGGCCUAACACAGAAGGCACUGCUCAUCUUCCUUGUUUGUCAUUUUAAAGAAUUACUGCCAAAUGAUGGAAACGUUUGUUCCCGUUUUUAUUUCUGAGUGUACUCUGGAUCUAUGAUUCACAGUCAGGUGUAGUUAACAAUGUUUUCUCUCAUUCUGUGUGUUGUCUUUUCACUUGAGUAACCAUUUCCUUUGUUUUUACAGAGCUUUUGAAUUUUGUGACAUCCAUUAGCUUAUCGUCACUAUUAUUUCCUGAGGAACAACAAGACCUUCAGGAGUUCCUCACCUCUGUCUGUAUCCUGAAUAAUGUUCCCCUAUGUAUUCCUCUAAAAGGUUCGACUUGGAAGCUCCUACAUUGAGGCUUUUAGAUUGAAAUACCUAGAUUAGGAAUGAUUUUUGUGCAGGGUGAGAGAUAAAGAUCGGUUUUCAUUCUUAUACACGAAAGAUCCCCAGUGAAACUUGUGUUAGUGUUUUUGAAAAUGGCUUGGAAAACCUAGGCUGGAAGAGGGUGUAUGUAUGGCCUUCUUCAUAGGAGAUCAUUCAUCAUUUGCUAUCUGCAAACUCAGGUAGCGAAGGCUAGUUGCAACAACCUAUACUAAGACCCAUGUGUCCACUAAAGAUGUUUUCAGAGGUAAGAAUGACCUGUGGAAUUU
rnacentral:lncRNA from 1 species